GUGCAUUUAUAGUGCUGUGCGAGCUUGGUGGAAACUAAUUAAUGUACGGUAUUUCAUUGAAAGAAAAUGAAGAUAAUUCUGUGUUUGACAACCUUGAUAUUGUUUUACUGUAUUGGUUUGUUCUGUUGUGUUUUCAGGUUAUGUUUUCCUAUGAAUUAUUUUGGAUGUAAAUAUUCUGGAAUUUUCCAAAUGAAUUUUAGCCAAACUUUUAGUAUUUUAAGCUGUUUUUUUGUGAUUUGACGUGGAAUAUACAGUUGAUGCCGUCGGUUUUUAAAGUUUUUACAUCUGAAUGUCUUAUUUAUAGUAUAGAGGCCUGAUGAAGCAAACGAGAGUUUGCGAAACGUUGCUGAAUAUACUUUAAGAUCUUU